rnacentral:tRNA from 1 species
GGAGGUAUGGUGUAGCGGAUAGCAUCAGGGGCUUCGGAUCCCUGGACCCCGGUUCGAAUCCGGGUACCUCUGCCA